UACGGAGGAUGCGAGCGUUAUCCGGAUUUAUUGGGUUUAAAGGGAGCGUAGGUGGAUUGUUAAGUCAGUUGUGAAAGUUUGCGGCUCAACCGUAAAAUUGCAGUUGAUACUGGCAUCCUUGAGUACAGUAGAGGUGGGCGGAAUUCGUGGUGUAGCGGUGAAAUGCUUAGAUAUCACGAAGAACUCCGAUUGCGAAGGCAGCUCACUGGACUGCAACUGACACUGAUGCUCGAAAGUGUGGGUGAU
rnacentral:rRNA from 1 species